ensembl:snoRNA LOC120098684 small nucleolar RNA SNORA2/SNORA34 family
AAGACUGAAGACCAGCAGUUGUACUGUAGCUGUUGGUUUCAAGCAGACGCGCGACGCCUAAAGAACUGUCUUCCUGUGGUUUGUUGGCUAUUCUGGACUUCAGUAGAGAAUGACUAUUCCAUUUGGAGGAAACAACC